rnacentral:lncRNA from 1 species
CCCCUGAGACCCCCGGCGGCCGCUUCCGGAAGAGCGGUCGGCGGCCAUGUUUGAUGGGGGGGGUCUUUCACGUGCACUUCCGGCUGCGGACCCCCAGAAAUCAGUUUAAGAACUGGACGAAGAAUGCCUGCCGUCCUUCUCAAAUGAGCCUUUGGACUGACAUUUUCUGUCUAAACACAGGAAUACAAAGGUACGAAAUGAGCAUUGGAAAGCCCAGCCCCACUCAGCCGUCUUGGUGACUCACUCCAACAGUCACGUGAUCUCACGGUUGUAGCAUCCUCAGGGCUCCCGGGGUGGUCUUUCUGCUCUUUGGCUCCAUCUGCCUCACUCCCUGGCGCCUUCAGCUCGGCACACCCCAGCCAGAUUCGAGGCCAGGGCUGGGGAUGUCAGGGUGAGUCCCUAGAAGACAAACCCCCUGAGGGCAGGGGCUGUCUGUUCUACGUGUGUGUCCAGCACUUGGCACAGUUUAUCUGCAUAAAGCAAGUGCUUAAUUAAUGCCCCCCCCCCAUUCAUUCAUGUUCCUCACUUGCUUUUUUGUGUUUGCUCUUGUUGAAUCAUUUCAGUCGUUUCUGACUCUUCUUGACCCCACUGGGGGUUCUCUUGGCAGGGAUACUGGAGUGGUUUGCCAUGUCCUUCUCCAGCUCAUUUUACAGAGGGGGAAACUGAGGUUAACAGGGUAGAAGUGACUUGCCUAGGGUCACACAGCUAGUAAGUGUCUAAGGCCAGGUUUGAACUCAGGUCCUCCUGACUCAAGGCCCAGUGCUCCAUCCACCGCACUACCUAGCUACUCCCCCCCCCACUACCUUUCCUCUAAUACCUUUUGAAAGCAGAGAAAAUCUUCCCAGCCGUAUCUGCUGUCAUUUCUGGCCUGCCUUCUCUUUCCCUCCUGACAGAUACACCAACGAUGAGGACAAUCUUUAGCCCCCCCUUCUCUCCUCAAAGUCUGGCCUCCAGUCUACUUCCCAUUGUCCCUUCCUCAUCCUGGCUUGGGCCAAGACCCCGGCUUUUCUAAAGACUUCCACUAAGGGAAAAUUAUGAAUGACUGAAUGAAUGAAAAAGCACUUCUUAACUGCUUACAAGGUACAAAAGCUCCCUUCCAGUAUUUUGGUUUGGCUUAAACUAGGGUCCUGUAAGGGGUACAUGAGCUUGGAUGGGAAAUAUAGAUAGAUAGAUAGAUAGAUAGACAGACAGACAGACAGACAGGUAUCUUUAUUUUCCCCAAACUUUAACUGAAAAUAU